rnacentral:rRNA from 1 species
UACGGAGGGUGCAAGCGUUAUCCGGAAUUACUGGGUUUAAAGGGUGCGUAGGCGGCUUAGUAAGUCAGGGGUGAAAGGUCACGGCUCAACCGUGGAAUUGCCUUUGAUACUGCUGAGCUUGAAUCAGGAUGAGGUUGGCAGAAUGUGGCAUGUAGCGGUGAAAUGCAUAGAUAUGUCAUAGAACACCGAUUGCGAAGGCAGCUGGCUAGACCUUGAUUGACGCUGAGGCACGAAAGCGUGGGGAGCGAACAGG